GCGUCUGACGUCGUUGCGCGGCGCGACCAGGUUCAGGGGCGGGCCGCGCGGAGCCUCAUUUCCCCGAACGCCGGCGCUCGGGGGCUGUAGCCGUAGUUGUUGGCCGACCGAGUGCCGGGCAUAAGCCCCCCCGGUGGGGGGCAGCUGGUGUGCGGAUCGCGGCGGGAGAGAGGCGCGGUAGGAACGGGUCCCCGGAGCCGUGAACCGCGGUCUCUUUCAGAUACCCAAAUCCACCCAUGCUAAAGUCCCCCAGUCUGCUCUCCGUAUCCGUGGUUGGGUCAGUCUAUAGAUGUGGAACCUGCAUAUACGGAGAGCCAACUGUAAUUUGUCCUUAAGUUUGUUACAGGAACAACUUUUUGACGUGAAGGAAGAUAGAAAUUUAGCUAUAAAAUUCCAUCCAAAACUUCCACUGAAUUGAAGUGAAAGGGAAGCAAUGCAGAAAUCAGAGGGCUCUGGAGGUACACAGUUGAAAAACAGAGCAACAGGUAACUAUGAUCAAAGAACAUCAUCAAGCACACAGAUAAAACACAGGAAUGCAGUUCAGGGAAGCAAAUCCUCAUUGUCAACCAGUUCUCCAGAGUCUGCAAGAAAACUUCAUCCUAGACCAAGUGAUAAACUGAACCCUAAAACAAUUAAUCCAUUUGGUGAACAGUCACGAGCGCCUUCUGCAUUUGCAGCUAUUUACUCUAAAGGAGGUAUUCCUUGCAGAUUGGUACAUGGUUCAGUAAAACACAGAUUACAGUGGGAAUGUCCUCCUGAAAGUCUUUCAUUUGAUCCGCUUCUUAUUACUUUAGCUGAGGGUCUGAGAGAGACUAAGCAUCCAUACACUUUUGUGUCAAAGGAGGGUUUUAGAGAAUUACUUUUGGUCAAAGGUGCUCCUGAAAAAGCUAUUCCUUUGCUACCUAGACUGAUUCCUGUGCUAAAGGCAGCUCUGGUCCAUUCAGAUGAUGAAGUGUUUGAAAGAGGAUUGAAUGCUCUAGUUCAGCUAAGUGUCGUUGUUGGUCCUUCUCUAAACGACCAUCUGAAGCAUCUGCUUACAAGCCUUUCCAAGAGAUUAAUGGACAAGAAAUUCAAAGAGCCAAUCACCAGCGCAUUACAAAAGCUAGAGCAACGUGGCGGAAGUGGAAGCCUUAGCAUCAUCAAAUCUAAAAUUCCAACAUACUGCUCCAUAUGCUGUUGAAGAAGGGAGCCAACAAAAAUUGUUUUUUCUACCUGGUGACGUGUCAAGCACUGACCGAAAUUUUCUCCUAACUUCAUGCCCUCUUGACUUCUGUCUUCAUUCCUACCUGAAAAAAUGUUUCGACGUGUUGUCUGGGAGCAUCUUCUUUGAGGACAGGAUAUGUACAUUUACCCAUCAUAUCGUAUAUUGCUUUCAUUAUAUCAAGCAUUUCCUGAAAAGUAAAAGGCAUUCAUGUGAGGCUGCACACAUGUAUGAAGAAACCAGUCUAAGGAGCUCUGACAGAUUUUUCCUACUCAAUUUUAAAUUGUUGACUUUUUGUUUGUUGGAUUCUUUGUUAGACUGUUGGUUGUCCCAAAGGAAAAGCCAACAAACAGCUUUCUGCCUUAAGAGCAGAAGAAUCAGAAUUUAAGAAUGAAUUCUGAUCUCUUGGUUUCAAAAUGAGGCAAAUUUCCAUGUAUCUACCAUAGGCAGGAAAAGAAUAUUUUGGAUUUCUACAGACUUUAAGUAGACUAUGUUUAUUUAAUGGCAUUAUUAUAUAUCUUAUGUGUUGAUCAUCAGUUUCCAUCUAUUGAGAAUCAAAUAUACUGCACACCAUAUAUUGAGAAAAAACACCAUUUAGAAUUAGUGAAAUUAAUUGGUAAGUCUUAAAGUUCAUUAGGGUUUUUGUUGUAUUUUUCCUACUGUGGCUUUAACUUAAGUCACACGUGAAGACUAGUCAAAAAAUUUUGACCCUAGGAAACACCUUGAAAUUUUAUUAUUAACUUUUUCUCUAAAACAGUCUAAUUUUUGCCUUACCAUUUUCAUUCUUAUGAGAGUGAAAAUAAUAUCUAAUAACUUAAAAAUUUAGAUUUAUUGUUGCACAUUUGUUUCACAUGAAAGAUCUCUCAAUUAGGUUGAUAAUACAGAUCUAAUAUAUAUUUACUUUUAAGAGUAUUCAAUUCUAUUAUAAAUGAUAGAGUAAUUGGUAAACAGGUGAAACCUUUUAAGAUGUUUUAAGCAUAGAUAAGUAGCAAGUAGUUUGUUAGACACAGGCAGAAUUCUUGAGAUGUGUUAAAGAGAGGUAAGAAUUGAAGAACAAGAGAUACUUAAGGUAUCCUAAAUAUCUGGGUAAUAAAUAUUCAUGAUAUAAAAAUAUACAAGAAGCACUAACUAUUUAGGAUAUGUUCCAUAUACAUGAACACUUAAUAGCCAUAAGGUCUUAAUUUGGCACCCACUAGUGACACCUAUUCUGGCCCCAGGUGUCAUCUGUGCAAGAAACACAAAUGAAACCCAUUACUACUUAUCAGGCUAUACUUGUGACCUGGCACACUUGCACCUGUCUCUCUCCAGUAGUGCAAGUUCAUGUCAUUGGCUGUUGGCCCUGGGCACCUUUUGUCUGUGGGGCCUCUUGCUCAAAACUCAAUUCUGGGGAAGGCUCGUGAGGCAAAGAGAGACAGGACAUAGGCACACUGAGCAUGCCCAGGAUUUAGGGAGUGUGGUCUUUCAACCCCAUUUGCAUCCUAUCCUGCGUGGUUAACUUACCCCUUCCCUUUCCCUUUACUUCUCGCUGUGUUUUAAAUUGGUUUAAUAAAAUGUGUAAUACGAGUAUCUUAAUUUGGUCUGUGGACCUUGUUUCCUGGAUAGUAUGCCUCAAAGUGCAUUUGGAGACCCCACCGUUGCGUCAGGUCAUUCCACAAUCCCCAUGAUUGUAAAAUUGCAUUUCCUUAUGGAUCACAUGCUGUGGGGAAAAGAAAGGCUUCAGGCUAAAUAUUGAAACAUGGGUUGGAUAUAUUUUCUUUGUAUCUGAUUCCAGCCAUGACCUUUAUUCCAUUCAUAGUAUUUAUUAAGAUGCCAGCAGGAAACAAGGGUGUAAUCUUUAUGUGUUAUAUAUUUACUUUGGAGCUUCACCAUAAACUAUUUCUAUCCCAAAUUUUUAAUUAUACAUCUUUCUUCCACUAUAUAAAAUAUUUUGGAUUUCCUCAAACUUUUCAAAUUAAUAAUUGCAAUUAAUAUUUUAAAGUUAAGAAAUGAAAAUGGUCCAAAUUACUGCGAUGUUGGUGAGGCAUCCCUUACCUCUUUAGUGAUGUAGCCAUCUUUAUUUAUGUCAUACAGAUUAAAUGCCCAAUUGAGUUUUUCUUGUACUGUCCCUCGGAGCAAAAUGGAAAGACCUUUGAUGAAAUCCUAAAAAGAAAUAAAAAUUCAAUUUUAUAUGACAUUUAAAAAAAAAAAAGCAAAGAAAUGAUGGAAGUAAGGGCUACAACCCUCUGGAUUUUGAAGCAUUUAUUUAGCAAAAUGAUUGAUAUGUUAUUGGUUGUCUAUUUUUCAGACUUCUCUGUGGGCAUAAAUCACUCCUUAGUCUUAACAUUUUCGUAUUCCAAUUGGAAAGUGAGUUAAAUCAAUGGUUAUACUGGAAAUUGUACCAAUGGAAACCCACACAGCUAGAGGCUUGAGUAUAAGUGGUACUGGCUUUCUACGGCAAGUGCACAUGAUUUACUAAAAGAAUCUAAUAAUAGUUUUUUCAGAAAAAUACAAGUGCACACAUAACACACUUCAAUGAAACAACGUUUGCUAAUAAGAAAUAUGGCUGUCCAUAAAAGAUAAACCAAUUGUGGUCUUUAAUUAGAAAUCCAGUUAUAAUUUACAUGUGGACAGUGGGUAAGAGCAUGGAGCUGGAGAGGACAGACUGCCUGGAUUCACCCUCCAGCUGUAUUACUGGAUGGCUUUAUGUCUUCAGGCAACUUAACAUCCCUUUGCCUCAAUUUUCAUAUCUGUAAAAUGGAGCUAAUAAUAGUAUCUACCUCUUCACAAUUUUAUGAGGAUUAAAAAAGAGGCUGCUUAUAACAGUCCUUAACAAGGACAUUGGCUAUGUAAGUUUUCGUUAAGUAAAUGGAGCCCUCAGUUUGUAUCCUGGUUAAGCUGGUUUGAUUGCAUUGCAGACUGGCCAGAUUAACUUGAUUAAAUUCAUUUAGAUUUUUUUUUUUUGAGAUGGAACCUUGCUCUGUUGCCCAGGGUGGAGUGCAGUGGCACGAUCUUGGCUCGCUGCAACUUCCACCUCCCACCUCCCAGGUUCAAGCGAUUCUUCUGCCUCAGCCUCCCGAGUAGCUGGGACUACAGGCACCUGCCACCAUGCCUGACUAAUUUUUGUAUUUUUGGUAGAGAUGGGGUUUCACCAUGUUGGCCAGGUUGGUCUCGAACUCCUGACCUUGUGAUCUGCCCACCUUGGCCUCUCAAAGUGCUGGGAUUACAGGCAUGAGCCACCACGCCCAGCCAGAUUUGUUGUUGUUACGUACAGCAGGGUUAACGUUACAAUAUGCUGUAUUCAGUUUAUAAUCCACUUUUAGGUAGGAAUGAAAGCAGAGGGGAAAUCCAAAAGUCUUCUGGGUGAAUUUGCAUCGUAUCUCCCUUUCUCACAUUCCUUCCUUUUAUAGCUGUAUUUCUGUCUGAAUUUCUCAAAAUGUUUUUUCUUUUUUUAAUAAGUAACAUCCAUAUAGUUCAACGUUUAAAAAUUGUGUAAGUUGCCUGGUGAAAAAUCUUUCUUCCCUUCCUGGACCCAGCCACCUGUUCCUUUUAGUCAUAGACUACUGGAAUAAAUAGUUUGUAUUUACUUCCAAGGAAUUUUUGUGCAUACACAAGUAUAAGAUAUAUUUGUUUUACUAGCUAAAAGACUUCUAUACUUUUUUUUCCACUUAAGCAUAAAUCAGGGAAACAAUUUGAGUUUCCAUUGUAUAUGUAAAUGCAUCGUAGUUUAUUUAACCAAAUUGUUCUUUUACAUUUUUUCUCAUUGUUAUUUCUAGGUAUUUUAAUAUUUCUGUUGCUGUUGUAAAUGAGAUACUUUUUUCUAUCAUAUAUUCUAAAUUAGUUGUUUGUAUGUAUGAAAGCCAUUGAUUUCUGUAUGAUAAUUUUGUACCGUGUCAAUUUGCUGACACCAUACGUUGGUUUUCUUCUGGGUUUUCAUGUAUGCAAUAUUAGCUGCAAAUGGAAUUAAUUUUACCUUUUUUUCCUAAUUUUUAUAUGUUUACUUUUUUCUAAUUAUAUGGCCUAAUAUCUAUAGAACAAUGUUACAUAAUGAAAAUGAUAAUAGAUAUUCUUAGUUUUUUCUUGAACUUGAGAAUAUUUCAAUUCACUUUUAAGCAUGAUACUUACUUUUAUCAUGGUAAAGAAUUAUACAACCAUUCCACUUAAGCAAAUUUAUCAAGAAUGGCCACUGACCUUUUUUGGCAAAAAUGAAAAAGACAAAAACAGAAAUAAUUGUCAAAUUCAUAUUGCAAGGGACCCUGAAUAGCCCAGUCAAUUUUAAGAAAGAAAAACAAACUUGGAGGACUCACACUGCCCAAUAUCGAAACUUAGUACAAAGUUACGUUAAUCAAAACAGUGUGGUACUGGCAUAAAGACAGAUGUAUAGAACAGUAGAAUAGAAUUGAGUCUAGAUAUAAACCAGCUGUGUGUGGCCAACUGAUCUUCAAUAAUGGUGCCAAGACCAUUCAAUGGCUAUGGAGAGAAUAGUCUCAACAUAUGGUGCUGUGGCAACUGGAUCACCAUACUUAGUCUGCUUCCCAUUGGCAUGCAGGGUAGAAUGUCAAGUGAGAGAAAAACAAGAUUCCAAAGAAAGCCACAAGGAAUUCUGAUAUUUGUCAGGCACAGAGAGGAGAAGCUGGCAAAGCAUCUUGAAAAGAAGUUGCUAAAGAAGUGAGUCAGGAGAACAGAGCAUUUCCCUAGGAAAGGAUUGUUCAUUUUGCUGCCAAGGUUGGAAAAAUGUUCACCAGACCAGCAACAUGGAGGUCACCAGCAAGUGAUAGGGAACGGUCCAGUGGAGUAGGAGUGAAGAGUAAUUUUUAAUGAGGAGCACUUUGAAUACUGAAGAGAAGAAUCUAAAAAGAGUAAGUCAGAAAUGGGCUGUGCUCCUGAGAAGGUGAGGAGGAUCCAGAACACGGGUAGAUGGGCCAACCUGAGAAGGGAGUUGAUACAUGAGACAGAAGGACCUGGUGUGGAUGCCAGUAGCUGCUUUGCAGGUGGGAAGAUGACUGUGUUUCUGUCCGAUAGCUUUAGUGAGUGUGAGCUGUUUGAGAGUGAGGAGCCUGGUAGAAGAGGUAAGAAUCUGAGGUUUGAGGAGAGAGGCAGAAGCUCUGAUACUAAGCAAUAAGGUGAUAUGCAAAUUAGAGAAAGGGAGACCUCCCUCAAAUUAUUUCCCUGCCAUAUUUUAGAAAAUUAUUUAUGAUAUAGAAUGUAGUUCAAUUAAAAGGUAAUGACAGCCCUUGGAGGUGUGAGUGUACAUCUUGCCCAACCAGCAGGCUGGGGAUCAUGGCUCAUGCCUGUAAUCCCAGCACUUUGGGUGGUGGAGGUGGGAGGGUUGUUUGAACCCAUGAGUUUGAGAGCAGCCUGAGCAACGUAGCCAGAUCCAAAUUAACAGCAAGAACAACAAAUUAACUGGGUAUGGUGAUGCACACCUGUUGUCCCAGCUACCUGGGCUGAGAUGGGAAUCGCUUGAGCCCAGAAGGUCGAGGCUAUAGUAAACUAUGAUUGCACCACUGUGCUGCAGCCUGGAUGACAGACCAAGACUCUGUCUCAAAAAAAAAAAAAUCCUUAGCUUUUUCAGAAGGUAUAAAAUAUAAGUUGCAGAACAUAGAGCCUUAUUCAAGGAAGAUUGCUGAGCAGUUUUGAAAGGCUAGAUGAGGUUGAUUGUUAUCAAUGUAAACCAUAUUUUUUAAAAAUUCACAACAUAGUAAUAUGUCAUUAAUUGUAAGGGCAGCUGGCUACAGGGUCUUCGAAAACAUGCUUAGAGUAUUGGUUCUCAAAAUAUAAUGUGCAACACAAUCACCUGGGGAGCUUGCCAACAGAUUUAUGGGACCUACUCCAAGAAUUAUGAUUCAUUAGGUUGUGGGACCCUAAAAUUUACAUGUCUGACAUGUUCCAAGGGGAAGCCUGUACUGCUUCCAGGGAUCACACUUUGAGAACCACUGGCCUACAGCACUCAUCACUGGCAUUGACCUCACCACCACACAAAACAGCAGAGAAACAAUGAAAGAUUUAAAGAUAGCACUUUUGGGGAAUCCCCCCAAGAUGGCUGCAUAGGAACAGCUCCAGUCUACAGCUCCCAGCAUGAACAACGCAGAAGACGGGUGAUUUCUGCAAUUCCAACUGAGGUACCAGGUUCAUCUCACUGGGACUUGUUGGACAGUGGAUGCAGCCCACAGAGUGUGAGCCGAAGCAGGGUGGGGCAUCGCCUUACCCAGGAAGCACAAGGGGUUGGGGAAUUCCCUUUCCUAGCCAAGGGAAGCCAUGACAGAUGGUACCUGGAGAAUUGGGACACUCCCCCCCCAAUACUGUGCUUUUCCAACAGUCUUAGCAAACGGCACACCAGGAGAUUAUAUACCACACCUGGCUCAGAGGGUGUCACACCCACAGAGCCUUGCUCACUGCUAGCACAGAAGUCCAAGAUCGAACUGCAAGGCAACAGUGAGGCUGGGGGAGGGGCGUCCACCAUUGCUGAGACUUGACUAGGUAAAGCAGCCAGGAAGCUCAAACUAGGUGGAGCCCACUGCAGCUCAAGGAGGCCUGCCUGCCUCUGUAGACUCCACCUCUGGGGGCAGGUCAUAGCUGAACAAAAGGCAGCAGAAACUUCUGCAGACUUAAACAUCCCUGUCUGACAGCUUUGAAGAGAGUAGUGGUUCUCCCAGCAGGGAGUUUGAGAUCUGAGAACAGACAGACUGCCUCCUCAACUGGGUCCCUGACCCCUGAGUAGCAUAACUGGGAAACAGCUCCUAGUAGGGGCCGACUGACACCUCAUACAGCCAGGUGCCCCUCUGAGACGAAGCUUCCAGAGGAAGGAUCAGGCAGCAACAUUUGCUGUUCUGCAGCCUCCGCUGGUGAUACCCAGGCAAAGAGGGUCUGGAGUGGACCCUGGCAAACUGCAACAGACCUGCAGCUGAGGGUCCUGACUGUUAGAAGGAAAACUGACAAACAGAAGGGAAUAGCAUCAACAUCAACAAAAAGGACAUCCACACCAAAACCCCAUCUUUAGGUCACCAUCAUCAAAGACCAAAGGUAGAUAAAACCACAAAGAUAGGGAGAAACCAGAGCAGAAAAGCUAAAAAUUGCAAAAAUCAGAGCACCUCUUCUCCUCCAAAGGAAUGCACCUCCUCGCCAGCAACGGAACAAAGCUGGAUGGAGAAUGACUUUGACCAGUUGACAGAAGUAGGCCUCAAAAGAUCAGUAAUAACAAACUUCUCUGAGCUAAAGGAGGAUGUUCGAACCCAUCACAAAGGAGCUAAAAACCUUGAGAAAAGAUUAGACGAAUGGCUGACUAGAAUAAACAACGUAGAGAAGACCUUAAAUGACCUGAUGGAGCUGAACACCAUGGCACGAGAACUAGCUGAUGCAUUCACAAGCUUCAGUAGCCAUUUUGAUCAAGUGGAAUAAAAGGUAUCAGUGAUUGAAGAUCAAGUGAAUGAAAUGAAGCAAGAAGAGAAGUUCAGAGAAAAAUGAGUUAAACAAACAAAGCCUCCAAGAAAUAUGGGACUGUGUGAAAAGGCCAAAUCUACGUCUGAUUGGUGUCCCUGAAAGUGACAGGGAGAAUGGAACCAAGUUGGAAAACACCCUUCAGGAUAUUAUCCAGGAGAACUUCCGCAACCUAGCAAGGCAGGCCAACAUUCAAAUUCAGGAAAUACAGAGAAUGCCACCAAGAUACUCCUUGAGAAGAGCAAUUCCAAGGCACAUAAAUUGUCAGAUUCACCAAAGUUGAAAUGAAGGAAAGAAAGUUAAGGGCAGCCAGAGAGGUCGGGUUACCCACAAAGGGAAGCCCAUCAGACUAACAGCGGACCUCUCGGCAGAAACUCUACAAGCCAGAAGAGAGCGGGGGCCAAUAUUCAACAUUCUUAUAGAAUUUUCAACCCAGAAUUUCAUAUCCAGCCAAACUAAGCUUCGUAAGUGAAGGAGAAAUAAAAUCCUUUACAGACAAGCAAAUGCUGAGAGAUUUUGUCACCACCAGGCCUGCCUUACAAGAGCUCCUGAAGGAAACACUAAACAUGGAAAGGAACAACUGAUACCAGCCACUGCAAAAACAAGCCAAAUUGUGAAGGCCAUUGAGGCUAGGAAGAAACUGCGUCAACUAAUGAGCAAAAUAACCAGCUAACAUCAUAAUGACAGGAUCAAAUUCACACAUAAUAAUAUUAACCUUAAAUGUAAAUGGGCUAAAUGCUCCAAUUAAAAGACACAAACUGGCAAAUUGGGUAGUCAAGACCCAUCAGUGUGCUGUAUUCAGGAGACCCAUCUCAUCUGCAGAGACACAUAGGCUCAAAAUAAAGGGAUGGAGGAAGAUCUGCCAAGCAAAUGAAAAACAAAACAGGGGUUGCAAUCCUAGUCUCUGAUAAAACAGACAUUAAACCAACAAAGAUCAAAAGAGACAAAGAAGGCUAUUACAUAAUGGUAAAUGGAUCAAUUCAACAAGAAGAGCUAACUAUCCUAAAUAUAUACGCACCCAAUACAGGAGCACCCAGAUUCAUAAAGCAACUCCUUAGAGACCUAUAAAGAGACUUAGACCCCCACACAAUAAUAAUGGGAGACUUUAACACCCCACUGUCAACAUUACACAGAUCAAUGAGACAGAAAGUUAACAAGGAUAUCCAGGACUUGAAAUCAGCUCUGCACCUAGCGGACCUAAUAGACAUCUACAGAACUCUCCACCCCAAAUCAACAGAAUAUACAUUCUUCUCAGCACCACACUGCACUUAUUCCAAAACUGACGACAUAGUUGGAAGUAAAGCACUCCUCAGCAAAUGCAAAAGAACAGAAAUUAUAACAAACUGUCUCUCAGACCACAAUGCAAUCAAAUUAGAACUCAAGACUGAAACUCACUCAAAACUGCACAACUACUUGGAAACUGAACAACCUGCUCCUGAAUGACUGCUGGGUAGAUAAUGAAAUGAAGGCAGAAAUAAAGACGCUCUUUGAAACCACUGAGAACAAAGACACAACGUACCAGAAUCUCUGGGACACAUUUAAAGCAGUAUGUAGAGGGAAGUUUAUAGCACUCAAAGCCCACAAGAGAAAGCAGGAAAGAUCUAAAAUCAACACCCUAACAUCUCAAUUAAAAGAACUAGAGAAGCAAGAGCAAACACAUUCAAAAGCUAGCAGAAGGCAAGAAAUAACUAAGAUAAGAGCAGAACUGAAGGAGAUAGAGACACAAAAAACCUUUCAAAAAAAUCAAUGAAUCCAGGAGCUGGUUUUUUGAGAAGAUCAACAAAAUUGAUAGACUGCUAGCAAGGCUAAUGAAGAAAAGAGACAAGAAUCAAAUAGAUGCAAUAAAAAAUGAUAAAGGGGAUAUCACCACUGAUCCCACAGUAAUACAAACUACCAUCAGAGAAUACUAUGAACACCUCUAUGCAAAUAAACUAGAAAAUCUAGAAGAAUGGAUAAAUUCCUGGACACAUACACCCUCCCAAGACUAAACCAGUAAGAAGUUGAAUCCCUGAAUAGACCAAUAACAGGCUCUGAAAUUGAGGCAAUAAUUAAUAGCCUACCAACCAAAAAAAAGUCCAGGACCAGAUGGAU